rnacentral:tRNA from 1 species
GGUCAAGUGGCGGAGAGGCCGAACGCACAGGACUGCCAAUCCUGUUUAUCAAUGGGGCUUUUAAAGAGAGACCCAGAUAUCAUCGAGGGUUCGAAUCCCUCCUUGACCUCCA